ACCAUACUGCCAGUGCAGGGGGAGCCUGGGAUCAUGAUCCCAGGCUCCCCCUGCACUGGCAGAUUAGG
rnacentral:pre_miRNA from 1 species